AAUCAACGCUGGCGGCGUGCCUCAGACAUGCAAGUCGAACGCGAAAGUUCCCUUCGGGGAGCAAGUAGAGUGGCGCACGGGUGAGUAACACGUAGGUAAUUUGCCUUCGGGUGGGGAAGUAACAGUCGGAACGACUGCGUAAUACCGCAUAAUGCAGCGGCUCGACAUCGAGACAGUUGUUAAAGCGGGGGAUCCUUCGGGACCUCGCGCCUGAAGAGAAGCCUGCGGCAGAUUAGCUAGUUGGUGAGGUAAUGGCCCACCAAGGCUACGAUCUGUAACCGGCCUGAGAGGGCGGUCGGUCACACUGACACUGACAUACGGGUCAGACUCCUACGGGAGGCAGCAGUCGGGAAUUUUGGGCAAUGGGCGCAAGCCUCGACCCA
rnacentral:rRNA from 1 species